UNGUAUACGGUUCAGUGUUUACCAUACAGC
rnacentral:piRNA from 1 species